rnacentral:rRNA from 1 species
UACAGAGGGUGCAAGCGUUAAUCGGAAUUACUGGGCGUAAAGCGCACGUAGGCGGCUUGGUAAGUUGGAUGUGAAAUCCCCGGGCUUAAUUUGGGAAUUGCAUUCAAGACUGCCUUGCUGGAGUGUUGGAGAGGAAAGCGGAAUUCCAGGUGUAGCGGUGAAAUGCGUAGAUAUCUGGAGGAACAUCAGUGGCGAAGGCGACUUUCUGGCCAAACACUGACGCUGAGGUGCGAAAGCGUGGGGAGCAAACAGG